CAAUAAUAAUCUCAGCUAAGAGAUGACACAAGUCAUAAACAGGUGCACAUGCAGAGGAUUUUAAAAUGUAACAGAACACACAAAGAUCAUGCUGCUGCUCUGGGUACAGAAGAAUUUCAAGUGAAUGUAUAUAUCCAUCCAUUUACUCUGGUUUUCUGCACUGGCAUUUUGCAUAAAAUCGGUGUUCUAGAUCUUUGAGACUGCUUCCACAAGAACUUAAACCCAUGAUCAGCACAUCUGACCAGAGACUGUGCAGGUAAAAAAUCAAGCUGUCAUUGUAUUUUGGUACAAAAUCACCAAAUACUGGCAAGGACAGUGAAGAUACUUUUCUGAUGAUUGCACCAGAUGAGCCCAAUUUGAGGAUCUUGAAAGACUUUGCAGCCUGAAAGAGAUUCAUAACAGAGCAUAUACCUAUUUACUUGUAUCUUGUAGCUUUGAAUCUUGGUGAAUACCUAUGGGAUUUGGAAGUAAUUGCUCUAUUCAUACAUUUUGUGUCUUGGGCCAGUACUUAUAGUAUUCCAUGUACAGGGUAUUGAAAUGACUCUAGGAUUUGUGUUUUGAUUUUUUUACAUUUCAGCAAAGAAAAGAUCUUAAUGCCUAAUUUAUGUAUGUCUUUCUUUUACAGCCUGUAUAACUGUCCCAUAAACCAAUCAGCUGUGAACAACUAAGUAAUUUAUUGUUUAAGUGAAUUUAUAGUACUGUAGAAUUAACAUGCUUAUCUCAUACAUAUUUCUGCCUGCUUUUAAAAGCUAUUGUAACUGUGAAACAGUAAGCAGAUUUCACUUCUUUUUUUCCCAUUGAG
rnacentral:lncRNA from 1 species